GAAAGGAGCAUCUCACUACAUAGCCUACCAAAAGAGCAGAGCUGUGCAACAUGAAAAAGGCACCUUUGGAUACAGAAGCCAACUGUGGAACAAAUCAGCAUGUUCUUGAGUGCUCAUGGUUUAAUGGUAGGUGGAUUAUUGGAACUGAUGAUCUUAAACGUCUUAUUCAAGAGAGAAAUGAUUCCAAGGGAGUUGCAGGCCAUAUUCCAACUCUGUCUUCUUCGACUAAAUCCUGCAGUUGUCUUACGACAUCCUAGUAUUGCAAAAUGUUACUUUAAAUUUAUUGGGCACAUUUCUGAGAAAUAAACAUGAGCUCAAGGAA
rnacentral:lncRNA from 1 species